GCGCAGUCCGCCUCUGCGCACCCGGGACCCACGUGAUGGUGGUGCUGGAGAGCACGUGGGCUCAAUAAGAGGCUAAGAAUAUGAGAUUUCAGUUCUGAGACGUCUGGGAACGCUGACAGCUAGUCCCUGUCAUCUGCAGGAUCUACUUUUCUUAAGGAUGAGCAUAUUUUGGUCCACAGGUUUCCAAGACAAGCACAUUCCUACCAAUAUGAUCCCUGGACAAGCUGUUCUGGAAUUUGAACUGCUACUGAAAAGGGGUUAAGCCCAGGACACACACCCUCAUUUCGAUUCUGUGCUGCAGUUUCCGUGGUCCUGAACUUUCAGAGCUGUGGAUCAGGCAAUAACCUCUCUCAUCUCCAGUCUCCUCUGCAAGCUUGGGAUUAUAUUACCCCCUCGCAAGAUUGCUCUAAGGAUCAUCUGAACUAAGAUAUGCCAAGUAUUCAGCGCUUUGAUGCAUAGAAUGUGCUCAGAGUGCAUGCCUAGCCUUUCGUGAAGACAGGAUGGCUAUUGUGGCUCUAAGUUAUCGUAAUUUAAAGACAUUUCCAAGUGCUGUUAUGUAGUAAACGUGUGAGAGGAACGUGAAAAUACACGCAGCAUCAUCCUGGUUCCACGAGGCUUGCCAAGCCUGAGGGAAGUCCUCCUGGGGGUGCACUUCAGGCAGCAGGUGCCCGGGGGCGAGGGGCCCGGAGGCGCGCUGUGCGUGGGGGCAGCACCGACGAGGCGGCACAUGAUGCAGUCUUACUCGCUCACCAGUGGAGAGCCCGGGGUGGGCUUCCUCCGUCUUCAGGAGCUGGAAGCUGCUGCCAGCUACUGACACAGAUCAAGAAGAGCAGAGAAACAUGGCAGCUCUUCCCAUGGCUGGAAGGAAGUGUGGUUACCCUGGCAACAGCUUUGACGCACCACCUGGUGAUUUCAAGUCUAACAGCUGUGCAGCAACUGCAUUUCCAUUGAGGAAAUAAAGUGCAUUCAUGCAUCAUCUCAUGGAGGAUUUAAGAAGAAAUGAGCUUGCAAAUCUGGGAGAGGAGGGGAGGAGAGAGCACUGCACACUAGCAGAACCAGCUGAGGUCUAAAAGCCGCACUCAGUCUUGGAAGCAUGCCCCGGUCAGCCAAGGCCCUCUGCCCUAGGGCUGUGGGACUGCAGGGCAGAUUUUCCAUCAGAACGUCACAUAGGCCCAGUAGCCCAAGAACCAUUUUCCUAUCCCUUACUCAAAAUGGGUACUUCUAAGUGAAAUUGCACUCUCCAUCCCAACAGGCAUUAAAACAAAACGGUUGUGCACCUGUCAUUGUGAGAGCAGAGGGAUGUGAAUAAACAGUGUGCUGUUUUGUGCUUGUUUCUCACUGCCCCUAAUUUUCCCAAAGUGUUAGGACCUCCUGGAGAUCUAGUCAUAUUAAAAAAGCCAGACCCUGUGGAGGUUUCCAACAGAGUGAGUUUUACAGGCACAUCCGAAU